rnacentral:rRNA from 1 species
UACGUAGGUGGCAAGCGUUGUCCGGAUUUACUGGGCGUAAAGAGCGCGCAGGCGGUUGUGCAAGUCGCGUGUGAAAGCCCCCCGGCUCAACUGGGGAGGGUCACGCGAUACUGAUCGACUCGAAGGCAGGAGAGGGUAGUGGAAUUCCCGGUGUAGUGGUGAAAUGCGCAGAUAUCAGGAGGAACACCGGUGGCGAAGGCGGGUCUCUGGGCCGAUACUGACGCUGAGGAGCGAAAGCGUGGGGAGCGAACAGG